rnacentral:lncRNA from 1 species
GAUUUUUAAAAUAGGCGGCUGAGAUGAUAACAUUUCAGCUGGCGCUGGAUUUUGUGAAGAUCACAUAUUUUAGCAUGCAUAAGCCUUCUAAAAAGGACCUCAUGCCCUAUCUUCAGCACCCAGUAAAUAUCAGCUAUUUUGGAUUGGGGGUGAUGAGUAAAUAUUCAAGCACGACGAUGAUCUUGAUACAGUGAUUACAAGAUAUUUAAAGGAAGCUGCGAGGAUGCAUGGGAGAGUCUCGCUUUCAACUUGUGGGUUAGAGCUCAUCACAGUGGAACACUGAGACUCAGGUGACAGGACAAGGAAGAACUGUAUGGCACAAGAGCAGGAAUUAUGGACUCACAGGCUAUUGGCCUUUCCUCAUUGCUUCAUGAUACAGUGCAGCAAUCAGGGAAAUUGGAAGCAAAUGUUGGCACCCAAAGUGGACGUGAAUUGGAUCCACUGGUGAACUCACCUGUGAGACAAACUUGGAGUAAAACAGACAGCACUCAGAUCUCCCAGGACUGUUUCCAGACAAGGACAAGGGACACUGAUGGAAAUAACUGCUUCCUGGCAUUGGCUCUCCCCCCAUGGGGCAGUUGAGGAGCUUCAUGAGUGGCCAUCAGCUGCCCACCCCUGCACUGCCUGAGACACACCUCCUCUCCUGGACACCUUGCUUGGAGCUGCCUAGCCCUCUGGCUGCAUUGAGCUAUCUGCAUCCUGUCCCCACCCCACACACCUGCUCUUGCUCCUCAAGUAGCAUUUUUCUAAUCAUUUUUGCAUCAUAAUAAAAUUAAUGGCAUCUUUAUUCUUUUUAUGCCCACUCAAACAUGUGUCAUUUUAUUCCAGCUCGUGUAAAUAUGUACAUAGCUGAACAAUCCAAUACUCCUUUAUGAAAAAAGAUUGAAAAAAUUGGUGAAAGGAAUCUUACAUGGAAAUAACUAGAAAGCAUUUCUUUUUUAAUACUAAUUUUUUUAUAUUUAUUUAUCAAAGUAGUAAAUGUACAUGCUGGUUAUUAGCAACACUCCCCAAACCCAUCUCUUUCCUUCAACAGACUCAAUCUCUAGCUGUUUGUUGCACUGCCCCUGCUGCUUAUUUAUAGCUUAUCAAUGUUUAUUUAUUAAAUGAAAUAAAUAUAAAUAUUUUAUUAACACGCAUUGACA